rnacentral:lncRNA from 1 species
CUAAUGUCAUGGCCGGCCACUACUAGAUGGGGGGGAAAAUUGACAUGCAAGUCCCCCCUUUUUCAACAUGCACUAAUAGGUCCUUAUGUUUUGAUCUAUCACAUUUCAAAAAUGUCACACAUAAGUCCUAUUGACUAAAUUCACAUGCAACUUACUAAAUAGAAGCUUAAAAUUUUCACACAUUUAUUUUAGACAAUAAAUAUCAUAUUCAAACAAUUUGGUGACUCGGUUUAG